rnacentral:rRNA from 1 species
UAGGGAAUCUUCCACAAUGGGCGAAAGCCUGAUGGAGCAACGCCGCGUGUGUGAUGAAGGCUUUCGGGUCGUAAAGCACUGUUGUAUGGGAAGAACAGCUAGAAUAGGAAAUGAUUUUAGUUUGACGGUACCAUACCAGAAAGGGCUGCUAAAUACGUGCCAA